rnacentral:rRNA from 1 species
GACGAACGCUGGCGGCGUGCUUAACACAUGCAAGUCGAACGGAAAGGCCCCUUUGGGGGUACUCGAGUGGCGAACGGGUGAGUAACACGUGAGUAACCUGCCCUUGACUUCGGGAUAACUUCAGGAAACUGGGGCUAAUACCGGAUAGGAAUCCUUGCUGCAUGGUGGGGGUUGGAAAGCUUCGGCGGUUUUGGAUGGACUCGCGGCUUAUCAGCUUGUUGGUGGGGUAGUGGCUUACCAAGGCUUUGACGGGUAGCCGGCCUGAGAGGGCGACCGGCCACAUUGGGACUGAGAUACGGCCCAGACGCCUACGGGAGGCAGCAGUGGGGAAGAUUGCACAAUGGGCGGAAGCCUGAUGCAGCAACGCCGCGUGCGGGAUGACGGCCUUCGGGUUGGAAACCGCUUUCAGCAGGGGCGAAGCUUGUGGUGACGGUACCUGCAGAAGAAGCACCGGCUAACUACGUG